GAAGCACAAUGGGAUAAACUCAACGACGUUCAUAAGGAAUUGCAAGAGGAUUAUACAAUUCGAAGGGAAACUUUAUUAAAACGUUUAGAUUGCACUGUUCAAUCUUUUCAAUGGUCAGAUAAGACUAAAGGUAAAGAAGAACUAUUUGAAGACGUUUAUGAAAAAAAGA